AAUUUCCUUGGCUUCUUGCUGCAGUCACGUAACAGGUAGUCAGCCUGCCACGCAGUCUCUCCUCGUUGAGUGCAAUGUUAUCGGCCAUAAUCGGUGUCCAAAACGACGAUCACCGAUUGUUAUGAAAACUUGAAAUCGGCCCUAAUUAAUCGGCCUUCCGAUUAAUCCGUCAACCUCUAUACAAAACCCUUAUACCUCUGAAAUGGCAGGGUGAGAUAAUGCUACUGAUAGCCUACAUGGACAGGGUGAGAUUAAUGCUACUGGUAGUCUUGCGGACAGGGUGAGAUUAAUGCUCCUGGUAGCCUACAUGGCAGGUGAGAUAAUGCUACUGGUAGCCUACAUGGACGGUGGAUUAAUGCUACUGAUCCUACAUGGCAGGGUGAGAUUUGCUACUGGUAGUCUAUGCGGACAGGGUGAGAUUAAUGCUCCUGGUAGCCUACAUGGACAGGUGAGAUUAAUGCUACUGGUAGCCUACAUGGACAGGUGGAUUAAUGCUACUGGUAGCCUACAUGGACAGGGUGAGAUUAAUGCUACUGGUAGUCUACAUGGACCGGGUGAGAUUAAUGCUACUGGUAGCCUACAUGGACAAGGUGAGAUUAAUGCUACUGGUAGUCUACCAUGACAGGGUGAGAUUAUGCUACUGGUAGUCUACAUGGACAGGGUGAGAUUAAUGCUACUGGUGCCUACCUGGACAGGGUGGAUAAUGCUAUCGGUAGUCUACAUGACAGG
rnacentral:lncRNA from 1 species